rnacentral:rRNA from 1 species
UCGGAAGGCAGCAGUGGGGAAUAUUGCACAAUGGGCGAAAGCCUGAUGCAGCUAUGCCGCGUGUAUGAAGAAGGCCUUAGGGUUGUAAAGUACUUUCAUCGGGGAGGAAAAAACAAAACUAAUAAUUUUAUUUCUUGACGUUACCCGAAAAAGAAGCACCGGCUAACUCCGUGCCAGCAGCCGCGGUAAUACGGAGGGUGCUAGCGUUAAUCAGAAUUACUGGGCGUAAAGAGCACGUAGGUGGUUUUUUUAAGUCAGAUGUGAAUCCCUGGGCUUAACCUAGGAACUGCAUUUGAAACUGAAAUACUAGAGUAUCGUAGAGGGAGGUAGAAUUCUAGGUGUAGCGGUGAAAUGCGUAGAUAUCUGGAGGAAUACCUGUGGCGAAAGCGGCCUCCUAAACGAAUACUGACACUGAGGUGCGAAGGGCGUGGGGAGCAAACAGGGAUUAGAUACC